ACUCGCCUGUUAAUAUAAAUAACAACACAUUCAUUCAAAAUGGGGAGGAUCCUUAACAAAAUUCUGGAAAAAUUACUAAAGAAAACCCCUACUAAAAGCUCUUACGACUGAACUGCUCAGAUUCAUCAUCAGAAUCUGAGUACAUUUCGAGCUAAACCGUGCCACCCCACAAGAAUAGAAGUUUCUAGCGAACAAGGGACGAUAUAAAGGAACAAGAGGAGUCCGGAGGAUGCCGAAAAGAAUCAAAAGGCAAAGAAGGAAGAAAGAUACUCACCCAAGAUUCAGACGAGUGAAAAGUUUGAAGAACGGAAGGUUCGGUCAAACAAGUAAUGGUAACCAGAGGAUUGUGAAGAAAGCUUAAGGUUCAAGCGAAUUGCGUUCAAAAUCAGUCGAGCUGAAGUUUUGGAGAAGAUGGCGUUCUUGCAAUAAGGUAGCGGUAACUGGAGGUUUGUUCGAAGCGCUUGAAUGACUUGGUUCAACUCGAAUCAAGGGGAGAGAAUAGAAUAGGAUCUGCAACAACUCUAGGGGUUGAUUGGUGGUGAUCAUUUGUUCUCUUGUAUUGACUUUGCAACGUGUUAAUAAAAACAUCUCAAUUCUAGAUUUAGAAUUGAGGGCAGACGUACCCUAAGCGAGGACGAUAGGGGAACUGCUUCAACAAA